UGGGGAAUUUUGGACAAUGGGGGAAACCCUGAUCCAGCCAUCCCGCGUGUGCGAUGAAGGCCUUCGGGUUGUAAAGCACUUUUGGCAGGAAAGAAACGUCGCGGGUUAAUACCCCGCGAAACUGACGGUACCUGCAGAAUAAGCACCGGCUAACUACGUGCCAGCAGCCGCGGUAAUACGUAGGGUGCAAGCGUUAAUCGGAAUUACUGGGCGUAAAGCGUGCGCAGGCGGUUCGGGAAGAAAGAUGUGAAAUCCCAGAGCUUAACUUUGGAACUGCAUUUUUAACUACCGGGCUAGAGUGUGUCAGAGGGAGGUGGAAUUCCGCGUGUAGCAGUGAAAUGCGUAGAUAUGCGGAGGAACACCGAUGGCGAAGGCAGCCUCCUGGGAUAACACUGACGCUCAUGCACGAAAGCGUGGGGAGCAAACAGGAUUAGAUACCCUGGUAGUCCACGCCCUAAACGAUGUCAACUAGCUGUUGGGGCCUUCGGGCCUUGGUAGCGCAGCUAACGCGUGAAGUUGACCGCCUGGGGAGUACGGUCGCAAGAUUAAAACUUAAAUGAAUUG
rnacentral:rRNA from 1 species